AUUGAACGCUGGCGGCAUGCCUUACACAUGCAAGUCGAACGGUAACAGGUCUUCGGAUGCUGACGGGUGGCGAACGGGUGAGUAAUACAUCGGAACGUGCCUAGUAGUGGGGGAUAACUACUCGAAAGAGUGGCUAAUACCGCAUGAGAUCUACGGAUGAAAGCAGGGGAUCGCAAGACCUUGUGCUACUAGAGCGGCCGAUGGCAGAUUAGGUAGUUGGUGGGAUAAAAGCUUACCAAGCCGACGAUCUGUAGCUGGUCUGAGAGGACGAUCAGCCACACUGGGACUGAGACACGGCCCAGACUCCUACGGGAGGCAGCAGUGGGGAAUUUUGGACAAUGGGCGAAAGCCUGAUCCAGCAAUGCCGCGUGCAGGAUGAAGGCCUUCGGGUUGUAAACUGCUUUUGUACGGAACGAAAAGCCCCAGGUUAAUACCCUGGGGUCAUGACGGUACCGUAAGAAUAAGCACCGGCUAACUACGUGCCAGCCGCCGCGGUAA
rnacentral:rRNA from 1 species